AUCGAACGCUGGCGGCAUGCCUAAUACAUGCAAGUCGAGCGCAGCUGCGGACGGGUGGGUAAUACCUGGGAAUCUGCCUGGUAGUAGGGGAUAACGUUCGGAAAGGGACGAUAAUACCGCAUCCUAUCAGAUGGGCCUAGGGGGGAUUAGCUAGUUGGGGGGGUAAUGGCUUACCAAGGCUACGAUCCGUAACUGGCCUGAGAGGAUGAUCGGUCACACUGGAACUGAGACACGGUCAAGACUCCUACGGGAGGCAGCAGUGGGGAAUUUUGGACAAUGGGCGAAAGCCUGAUCCAGCCAUGCCGCGUGUGUGAAGAAGGUCUUCGGAUUGUAAAGCACUGUUUGUAGGGAGGCGGUACCGAACGAGAAAGCAACGGCUAACUCUGUGCCAGCAGCCGCGGUAAUAC
rnacentral:rRNA from 1 species